GACGAACGCUGGCGGCGUGCUUAACACAUGCAAGUCGAACGGAAAGGCCCUGCUUUUGUGGGGUGCUCGAGUGGCGAACGGGUGAGUAACACGUGAGUAACCUGCCCUUGACUUUGGGAUAACUUCAGGAAACUGGGGCUAAUACCGGAUAGGAGCCCCUGCUGCAUGGUGGGGGUUGGAAAGUUUCGGCGGUUGGGGAUGGACUCGCGGCUUAUCAGCUUGUUGGUGGGGUAGUGGCUUACCAAGGCUUUGACGGGUAGCCGGCCUGAGAGGGUGACCGGCCACAUUGGGACUGAGGUACGGCCCAGACUCCUACGGGAGGCAGCAGUGGGGAAUAUUGCACAAUGGGCGGAAGCCUGAUGCAGCAACGCCGGGUGCGGGAUGACGGCCUUCGGGUUGUAAACCGCUUUCGCCUGUGACGAAGCGUGAGUGACGGUAAUGGGUAAAGAAGCACCGGCUAACUACGUG
rnacentral:rRNA from 1 species